rnacentral:rRNA from 1 species
UACGUAGGGCGCAAGCGUUAUCCGGAAUUAUUGGGCGUAAAGAGCUCGUAGGCGGUUCGUCGCGUCGGCUGUGAAAACCCGGAGCUCAACUCCGGGCCUGCAGUCGAUACGGGCGGACUUGAGUGUGCAGGGGAGACUGGAAUUCCUGGUGUAGCGGUGAAAUGCGCAGAUAUCAGGAGGAACACCGGUGGCGAAGGCGGGUCUCUGGGCGAACUACUGACGCUGAGGAGCGAAAGCGUGGGGAGCGAACAGG